rnacentral:rRNA from 1 species
AGUGAACGCUGGCGGUAGGCCUAACACAUGCAAGUCGAACGGCAGCACAGUAAGAGCUUGCUCUUACGGGUGGCGAGUGGCGGACGGGUGAGGAAUACAUCGGAAUCUACCUUUUCGUGGGGGAUAACGUAGGGAAACUUACGCUAAUACCGCAUACGACCUACGGGUGAAAGCAGGGGAUCUUCGGACCUUGCGCGAUUGAAUGAGCCGAUGUCGGAUUAGCUAGUUGGCGGGGUAAAGGCCCACCAAGGCGACGAUCCGUAGCUGGUCUGAGAGGAUGAUCAGCCACACGGGAACUGAGACGCGGUCCAGACUCCGACGGGAGGCAGCAGUGGGGAAUAUUGGACAAUGGGCGCAAGCCUGAUCCAGCCAUACCGCGUGGGUGAAGAAGGCCUUCGGGUUGUAAAGCCCUUUUGUUGGGAAAGAAAAGCAGCAGGUUAAUACCCCGCUGUUCUGACGGUACCCAAAGAAUAAGCACCGGCUAACUUCGU